GAUUCCACACAGGAAGAUCACACCAUCCCUGAACAUCAUCAGAUUGGAAGCUGGAACAGUUUUAAUAUUACUAUUAAAAAAGAGUUAAAAGAAGAUGGUGUGAUGAAUGAGCAUUUAGAUGGAUAUAAGGAUCGCUACAAGGAUGUCAUGAUGAAGAAUCAGCGGCCCCUCACAUCACCGGAUGGAUCCAGUAAUAGGAACCCACCAGAGAGAUGUCCCCC